CCUACGGGAGGCUGCAGUGGGGAAUAUUGCACAAUGGGCGCAAGCCUGAUGCAGCCAUGCCGCGUGUGUGAAGAAGGCCUUCGGGUUGUAAAGCACUUUCAGCGGGGAGGAAGGCGUUAAGGUUAAUAACCUUGGCGAUUGACGUUACCCGCAGAAGAAGCACCGGCUAACUCCGUGCCAGCAGCCGCGGUAAUACGGAGGGUGCAAGCGUUAAUCGGAAUUACUGGGCGUAAAGCGCACGCAGGCGGUCUGUCAAGUCGGAUGUGAAAUCCCCGGGCUCAACCUGGGAACUGCAUUCGAAACUGGCAGGCUAGAGUCUUGUAGAGGGGGGUAGAAUUCCAGGUGUAGCGGUGAAAUGCGUAGAGAUCUGGAGGAAUACCGGUGGCGAAGGCGGCCCCCUGGACAAAGACUGACGCUCAGGUGCGAAAGCGUGGGGAGCAAACAGGAGUAGAUACCCUAGUAGUC
rnacentral:rRNA from 1 species